AACGAACGCUGGCGGCAGGCCUAACACAUGCAAGUCGAACGCUCUAGCAAUAGAGAGUGGCAGACGGGUGAGUAACACGUGGGAAUCUUCCUAUCGGUACGGAAUAGCUCAGGGAAACUUGGGGUAAUACCGCAUACGCCCUUCGGGGGAAAGAUUUAUCGCCGAUAGAUGAGCCCGCGUCUGAUUAGCUAGUUGGUGAG
rnacentral:rRNA from 1 species